rnacentral:rRNA from 1 species
ACAUACGACCAUACCCACUGGAGAACUCGGGAUCCCGUCCGCUCUCCCAUAGAUAAGCCAGUGAGGGCCGGAUUAGUAGUCGGGUCGGUGACGACCAGCGAAUACCUGGUGUUGUAUGUU